rnacentral:lncRNA from 1 species
AUAAUAACUAAACUUAAGCAUUUUGGGCCGAUAGUUUGGUUCCAACGAGUUAUCAUUACUAGCGGGUUAGGCUAUUAUAUUUUGUAUCAAAGUCGGUUCACCAGCCGAAAGUAUGAAAUGAGUUUUGGCUGAGCCAAGGUCGUAAUGACAGACGGCCGGUGAAUGACAGGCUAAGUCAGGAUUGGAAUGACAAGGCUAGCGAGAUGAAUCUCACAUCGCCUGGUAAUGUUGGGCUGUGUAGGUUAAGGACUGACGAGAACGUCAGGGUCUAAACAGGGAGAGUCUGUGACACCCCAAUAAUCCCAUAUCAGAUGAGAAUGGUGUUGUCAUUGGAUAUAUAAGAGGACUCCAUCCUGGUAAUAAUAACUAGGCUGAAUCAUUUUGGGCCGGUGGUUUGAAUCUAAUGAGUUAUUUUUACUAGCAGAUUGGGUCAUUAUAUCAAAUCACUUGAA